GAUGAACGCUGGCGGCGUGCCUAACACAUGCAAGUCGAACGAAGCACAUACGACGGAACUCUUCGGAGGGAAGAUGUAUGUGACUGAGUGGCGGACGGGUGAGUAACGCGUGGGUAACCUGCCCUAUACAGGGGGACAACAGUUGGAAACGACUGCUAAUACCGCAUAAGCGCACAGUACCGCAUGGUACAGAGCGAAAAAACUCCGGUGGUAUAGGAUGGGCCCGCGUCUGAUUAGUUAGUUGGUGAGGUAACGGCUCACCAAGACCGCGAUCGGUAGCCGGACUGAGAGGUUGAACGGCCACAUUGGGACUGAGACACGGCCCAGACUCCUACGGGAGGCAGCAGUGGGGAAUAUUGCACAAUGGGGGAAACCCUGAUGCAGCAACGCCGCGUGAAGGAAGACGGUUUUCGGAUUGUAAACUUCUGUUCUUAGUGAAGAAUAAUGACGGUAGCUAAGGAGCAAGCCACGGCUAACUACGUG
rnacentral:rRNA from 1 species